rnacentral:misc_RNA from 1 species
GUAGGUGAACCUGCGGAAGGAUCAUUAACACGUAUCCAACGUUAAACAACCCUGUGAACCUUCAACCCGAUCUUGCACCUCGUACGGAGCCAGCAAUCCCGGUAAAUCAUUGACGAACAGUUUUGAUUCGGGACCUCUGCCCAAGCUUGUUGCAAUUGAGCGGUAGAGCAAGUGACAUGGCUUCCUUACCACUGAAACAGCCGCUUGAAAGGAUUGGAACAGGAUGGUAAGGAUAACGCUUCACGGUUGCUAGAGGUCGAUCACCGACCGGCAAGCAUGUUACCGGGUCCCCAUGCCCCCUAAUCACCCCUGACACGUAUUACACGCCCCGUGGUAACUCGCCGGGUAAGAAAAAAAACCGAACAACUGUUAACAAUGGAUAUCUUGGUUCUC